UGGGGAAUUUUGGACAAUGGGCGCAAGCCUGAUCCAGCCAUGCCGCGUGCGGGAAGAAGGCCUUCGGGUUGUAAACCGCUUUUGUCAGGGAAGAAAUCUUCUGAGUUAAUACCUCGGGAGGAUGACGGUACCUGAAGAAUAAGCACCGGCUAACUACGUGCCAGCAGCCGCGGUAAAUACGUAGGGUGCAAGCGUUAAUCGGAAUUACUGGGCGUAAAGCGUGCGCAGGCGGUUUUGUAAGACAGAGGUGAAAUCCCCGGGCUCAACCUGGGAACUGCCUUUGUGACUGCAAGGCUUGAGUGCGGCAGAGGGGGAUGGAAUUCCGCGUGUGGCAGUGAAAUGCGUAGAUAUGCGGAGGAACACCGAUGGCGAAGGCAAUCCCCUGGGCCUGCACUGACGCUCAUGCACGAAAGCGUGGGGAGCAAACAGGAUUAGAUACCCUGGUAGUCCACGCCCUAAACGAUGUCAACUGGUUGUUGGGAAGGUUCCUUCUCAGUAACGUAGCUAACGCGUGAAGUUGACCGCCCGGGGAGUACGGCCGCAAGGUUGAAACUUAAAGGAAUUGACGGGGUCAUAGCUGUUUCCUG
rnacentral:rRNA from 1 species